GGGAGUAGCUAAACAUAGCAGUCACUGAAAAUACUACUCGCCAGAGAACUACGAGCUAUUGCUUAAAACUCAAAGGACUUGGCGGUGCUUCACAUCCCCCUAGAGGAGCCUGUUCUAUAAUCGAUAAACCCCGAUAAACCUCACCAGUCCUUGCCAAUUCAGCCUAUAUACCGCCAUCUUCAGCAAACCCCAAAAAAGGGAAUGACAGUAAGCAUAAACAUAACACAUAAAAACGUUAGGUCAAGGUGUAGCUUAUGGACUGGAAAGCAAUGGGCUACAUUUCCUUACACAAGGAUAUUAUAUUAAAACACGAAAACCGACGUGCAACCGUUAGUCUAAGGUGGAUUUAGUAGUAAACCAAGAGUAGAGAGCUUGGUUGAAUUAGGCCCUGAAGCACGUACACACCGACGUAAAACCCUCAACAAGGGAGUAGCUAAACAUAGCAGUCACUGAAAAUACUACUCGCCAGAGAACUACGAGCUAUUGCUUAAAACUCAAAGGACUUGGCGGUGCUUCACAUCCCCCUAGAGGAGCCUGUUCUAUAAUCGAUAAACCCCGAUAAACCUCACCAGUCCUUGCCAAUUCAGCCUAUAUACCGCCAUCUUCAGCAAACCCCAAAAAAGGGAAUGACAGUAAGCAUAAACAUAACACAUAAAAACGUUAGGUCAAGGUGUAGCUUAUGGACUGGAAAGCAAUGGGCUACAUUUCCUUACACAAGGAUAUUAUAUUAAAACACGAAAACCGACGUGCAACCGUUAGUCUAAGGUGGAUUUAGUAGUAAACCAAGAGUAGAGAGCUUGGUUGAAUUAGGCCCUGAAGCACGUACACACCGACGUAAAACCCUCAA
rnacentral:rRNA from 1 species